rnacentral:rRNA from 1 species
GACGAACGCUGGCGGCGUGCUUAACACAUGCAAGUCGAACGGAAAGGCCCGGCUUUUGUGGGGUGCUCGAGGUGCGAACGGGUGAGUAACACGUGAGUAACCUGCCCUUGACUUUGGGAUAACUUCAGGAAACUGGGGCUAAUACCGGAUAGGAGCUCCUGCUGCUUGGUGGGGGUUGGAAAGUUUCGGCGGUUGGGGAUGGACUCGCGGCUUAUCAGCUUGUUGGUGGGGUAGUGGAUUACCAAGGCUUUGACAGGUGGCCGGCCUGAGAGGGUGACCGGCUACGUUGGGACUGAGAUACGGCCCAGACUACACUGGGAGGCAGGAGUGGGGAAUAUUGCACAAUGGGAGGAAGCCUGAUGCAACAACGCAGCGUCGGGGAUGACGUCCUUCGGGUUGUAAACCGCUUUUGCUUGUGACGAAGCGUGAGUGACGGUAAUGGGUAAAGAAGCACCGGCUAACUACGUG